GUUUGAAAAACCAGUGGAAAGCUACCCGAACGACUAUCAUCAUAUUGAAGCAAAUUAAAGAUCGCAGUUUCCGCCCUUCGAAAGUGGAAACCAGCCCCUCCACGGAAACCGAAGCCUCGACUAUUCAUGCCGCACCGUAAUUCAGGAUCAAAUUCGACGGAGAUAAAAUAUAUUCGUGGCGGAGGAGGGACAGUGAUAAAUCAGGCAAUAAAUGAAAGCCCAACGAGGCGAGGAGGACCAGAUAAAAAGAAAAUAGGAGAAGGAGAGAACAAAGUGGAAGAAAGACAAGCGGUCUUCAUUAUUUCUAAAAGCGCUCCGGAGGCAGCCUGCGACUCACCAACGAGCCUGUUUUGUUGUGUAUAUCAGCUUCCUGUCCCGGUAGACCAGCGCCACCAAAGGGUUGACGUCGCAGACGCCUUGCCGAGGAACGGUUAUAUAUUUUUGGUUCCCUUCGUUCUGCAACCGAUUUGCAAACGGAACGGGAAAGAGGGAACGGAAGAUCAAUGGCAGGAACGAACAGUGAAUAACGGCGGCAGGAAGUGACGCUUUCGAGUGAAGUUAAAGGAAACGACAAUGGUGUGUUCUUCACCGCAGCAGUAACAGGACUUGCCACUUUAGCCAUCGGAUAAAUAAGAGCCAUUUAAAUGUGAUAUCCAGGGAGAUUGAGGGAUAGAGCCCGUGAGAUUGGAAACAUAGAACCCGAUACGUACAUACGUACUCCACGCGCUGAUACACCACUCUCUACUUAACGUUUACUAACUAUUCACCACUCGCUGCCGCUGCCGCUGCCGCUGCGCCGACUGCCGUCUGUCAUUCCCACGAAUUCUACGCUAUACGGUCCGUCUGCCACAGAUUCUUCCACGCGUUGAAUAAAUGAUGUACAUUACUCCUCGCGGCGGAUCACCCCAUUUAAUAUUCAUCGAUUCAAAUUUUCAUGGGCUGCUGGUAUUUAAAACAGUGCGAGCUGCGAUUUAUUUUUCAUACGUCGAACCUUGCUUAUUAUUAACCCGUUUCCAUAAAUUGAAUUUAAUCAAUCCGACAGUUGUUGGUCGGCUCGCGUCGGUCCAAGGGAAAUAUCAUUUCGACCCUAUGAAUAUUAAUCUUCGAUGAAUACGCUUUCAUGACGGUCCUAAGUAAGUCGAAUGCAUGAAGCUUCUUUCGUGACGCUCUGAUAAUGGAAAUUCCAAAGAAAAACCGCUCCACGAAAUGAAAUCUGAUUAGAUCGGCUAGUAAAUGAGUUUUUCUAACAUCUGGAAAGGUCGUUACUAGACUGAAAAUCUUUAGGAAAAAUUUAUUUUUUUUAACUGACCUCUAUCGAUUGUAACAAACAUCGGUCAAAUAGAAAUUUCUUUCUUCCUUCAUUAAUUUCAAUGAGUUGAAACUAAUGCAUAGGUGACCCUAAAUUUAUUUAAUACCUUCAUUGUUUAAUACCUUCAUGUAGCAAUUUUUAUUGUGAACACAUGAAAUCAGCUGUCCAGCGAUUGCUCCAUAUCCUGAAUUGUUAACAUGGGAAAAGUAAUUGAAAACAAUUCAAAAUAAUUCAUUUAACUUAAAAUUACUGCCUAUCAAACCUGCAGAUAUAAACGGGCAAUGAGAAUUUAUAAUUUUUAAUCAAAUUGAAUUUACUCUGAUGUACGAAUUAAAAGAGAAACAACAGAACGAAAUACUUUUACCACAUUGUAACCAAAACUGAAGUUAUAUUAAAAUAUGACUUUAAAGUUCA